CGGCCAGCUCCCACACUGUGGAGUGUACUUUCGUUUUCAAUAAAUCCCUGCUUUGGUUCUUUUGUUGCUUCAUUCUUUCUUUGCUUUGCUGGGCGUUUUGCCCAGUUCUUUGUUCAAAAUGCCAAGAACCUGGACAACUUGCAGUCACAACCCUCUAUCAGUGACAUACCUUGGCAAGCCAGCCAGGAGGAAAAGUAGGCCCAAAGUUUGGGAUUUUUCUCCUUUCCCCUUGUAAAUCUUUCUCUCUCUCUCUUCCUUUCCAACUCAGUGCCCUUGGUGGACAGCACCUAAGCAUGGAGACUUCAUGCAAGUUUCUGCCCAGGGUCACUAUCUAGUGAAACUGAAAGGUUUCCACAUGGAAGCACCUGACCGCCACCGCCCAGUUCAGUCUUUCAGCAACAGUUUCCUAGUAGCUCCUGGUAAUUGAGGGAAACUGACCAGGACCGCUCUUUGGCAUUCUCUGAAGACCAAGAAGCAAACAGGGAUAGAUGCCCUGCCUGGAAGGGGAAAAGACUCUUUUCUAUCCUUUCUGGUUAUACUCCCAGAACUCUACGUGUGACACAGUUGGAUGUGGCAGCUCAUCCAGGGCGAAUUCACACACGUUUCAGAGACCAUCAAGCUUCAGAUAAUCAAGCAACAAGGUUUCCAGCCAGCUCCAGGUGAAGGCACCACCCCACCGCCAUCAAGAAGCACCCUGUCUCCACUAGACAGAGUGGGCUGAGAGUUCCGGGAUCUCCAACAGUUGUAUAAAGACCAAAUGAUAUCUUCUUCCAAAAAGAAUGAGAAGCUGAUAGCUACUAAUGGAACAGAAGACUCAAGAAGAAAGUUGGAAGUGGAAGACACUAAUUAAAGGAGGAUCCAGUUUCACUUGCACUUAGAUGUAGAAAGCCACAAAAUAAUGUGGCUUUCACAUAAACAGGAACAAAGCUGGACAAUCAAUAAAAUCAUGAUUUGCCUUGAGCUCAGCAGCGAGCUAAGGUAGCAAGGCAAACAAGUGCACUAAAUUUCAGAUGACAGGCCACUCUGAGAAGAGAUCAGGUGCAUGAAUGGCUUUACCUUUGGCAAGGCACAGCAUGAAAACGCAACCACCUUAUGGGAGGGUAAAAAGAAAACAUCAAAUUUUAACAAAUCCUUAAAGGCCACGGGUGGGUGAAAGCAAUGGUUUAGACUCCUGGUUCAUCCCAACACUAGAAAGUCAGCACUGCCUCACACGCUCUUUGUACCCCACUCUCAGUAGUCCACAGACACACAAAGCCCCAUCUGCUCACAUUUCUUGAAGAGAGACCAUUCUUGAAAUGGGAACCAAGGGCUUUGGGUCCCUGGGUGAGGGACCAAAAUAAGUCCUCUUGCCUCCAGAGCUCAGGCAAGAAUUCCUUGCCUCUGGUCAUAGAUAGAAUCCAGUAUCACUGGGAGGGUGUGGAGAACCCUUCCUUCCUCCCUCAUUCCCAGGCAAAGAUAAACUCUGAAGAGAUUUCUCAAAAACCUCCGUAUUUCCACGAUAAACCUUGCACAGAGUAACAAGUGUUAGCAACCUACCACUGGGGUUGGGGUGGGGAUAAACAGGGCAAUUCACAUGUCCGUGAUCUCCAGUAAAAGCACAAUGCUACUGAGGGAAGAGUAGAGCAAUAGCUAGCUGACACUAGGGAAGGGACAGGAAACCCCCUGGGGUCCAGCCUUCUGUACUGACAGAAAACAGAGGUUAGCUACCACUGGAGGAGGAGGAUGAAACUCUCUCCUGCCCCAAGUGCUUCAUAGAUAGUAGGGUUUGGCUACCACAUGGGCACAGGAAUGUUGAAAAAAAAAAAAAACACUUCUGAGACCCAGGUACCCAGGAUCUAGCCAAGUGAGGCUGGACCAAGACAACUAAGAGUCCCCAUCCACUCCCAUCUUUAGCCUUCCACCAAAUAACCAACAAUAGCAGUAUACAGUAUAAGAAAGAUAAGAGCAUAGCGAGACCCUUUAGUGGUUCAAGCAGUCAGGGCUUCUUAAAUCUGAGAAAACAUGGAGAAAAAUACUCUAGCACCUUAGGAUUUACAAUCAGUACAUUGUAGCAGUAGUCUACCAUUAGAGGGGUUUUGAUAUGGUUUGGCCGUGUCUCCACCGAAAUCUCAUCUUGAAUUGUAGCUCCCAUAAUUCCCACGUGUUAUGGGAGUGACCCAGUGAGAGAUAAUUGAGUCAUGGGGGCAGUUUCUGCCACACUGUUCUCAUGAUAGUGAAUAAGUCUCACAAGAUCUGAUGGUUUUAUAAGGGGAAACCUCUUUCACUUGGUUCUCAUUCUGUCUUGUCUGCUGCUGUGUAAGAGGUACCUUUCACCUUCUGCCAUGAUUGUGAGACCUCCUCAGCCACGUGGAACUGUGAGUCCAUUAAACCUCUUUUUCUUUAUAAAUUACCCAGUUUCCGGUAUGUCUUCAUCACCAGCAUGAAAACAGACUAAUACAGAUUUAAAGACUGUUAUACAUUAAUGGUAGUUAUAGCAACAAGACCAAAAAUCAUCUUAAAUAAAAACCAGAUUGGCUCAAUGCCCCCACACUAAAAAAACAAAGAAGAAGAGACAUUAUAGUUGGGGAUUUCAGUAGUCCUCUAAAAGUGGGUAUAAAUCUUACUGACCUCAGGCUUUACUGUUUUAUACAAAAUGUGCAGCAAUCAAUCAAAAAUUAUUAGACAUACAACAACAAGAAUGUAUAUUCUAAUCUUGUUGGGUAGAGUAUUCUAUAUGUGUCAACACGUCAAGUUGUUUGACAGUGGUUUUCUUAUCUUCCAAAUUCUUACUGAUUUUCUGUCUAGUAGUUCUAUUAAUUACGUUUAGAGGACUACUGAAAUCUCCAACUAUAAUUGCUAAAUCAUCUAUUCUUUCAAUUCUCUCAUUGCUUCAUGUAUUUUGAUACUAUGUUGUUAGACGUAUAAUCACUUAUAAAUUUAUAUCUUCCUGAUGUUUUGACCCUUUACUAUUAGAAAAUAUUUCUCAUUGUCUCUAGUAAUAUUGUUUGUCAUAAAGUCUAUUUUGUCUGAAAUCAAUAUAGUCACUGCUGUUCUCUUAUGACUACUGUUUGUAAGGUACAUCUUUUUCCAUCCCUUUACUUUCAACCAAUUUUGUGUCUUUGAAAACACAUGUGUUAUUUCUUACAGACAGCACAUUUUUGGAUCCUGCUUUUUUAUCCAGUCUGCCAAUGUCUGCUUUUUCAUGUAACUAUUGAUGUGGUUGGACUUGUCUACCAUUUUACUAUUUGUUUUUUAU
rnacentral:lncRNA from 10 species